rfam:Dipodomys ordii contig_54540, whole genome shotgun sequence.
GGGAAGGUGGCUCAACGGUAGAGUGCUUGCCUUGCAUGCCUGAGGUCCUGGGUUCGACUCCUCACCAUCACA